CCUACGGGUGGCAGCAGUGGGGAAUAUUGGGCAAUGGGCGCAAGCCUGACCCAGCAACGCCGCGUGAAGGAAGAAGGCCCUCUGGUUGUAAAAUUCUUUUUUCAGGGACGCAGCGCGUGACGGUUCCUGAGGAAUAAGCCAUGGCUAACUACGUGCCAGCAGCCGCCGUAAUACGUAGGUGGCAGGCGUUAUUCGGAUUUCCUGGGUGUAAAGGGCGUGUUGGCGGGAAAGGAAGCCAGAUGGGAAAACGAUGGUCUCAACCUGUGGCCUGCAGUUGAAACUGGUUUUCUUGAGUACGGGAGAGGUAGACGGAAUGCGUGGUGUAGCGGUGAAAUGCGUAGAUAUUAGGAGGAACACCAGUGGCGAAGGCGGUAUGCUGGAGAGCAACUGACGCUGAGGCGCGAAAGCGUGGGGAGCGAACAGGAUUAGAUACCCGGGUAGUC
rnacentral:rRNA from 1 species